AAUCUUCCGCAAUGGACGAAAGUCUGACGGAGCGACGCCGCGUGAGUGAUGAAGGUCUUCGGAUCGUAAAACUCUGUGGUUGGGGAAGAACAAGUAUCGACCGCAUAAGUCGGUACCGUGUCGGUACCUAACCACAAAGCCCCGGCUAACUACGUGCCAGCCGCAGCGAUAAUACGUAGGGGGCAAGCGUUGUGCGUAAUUAUUGGGCGUAAAGGGCGAGCAGGCGGUCUUCUAAGUCUGAUGUGAAAUCUCGUAGCUUAACUACGAGCGGUCAUUGGAGACUGGGAGACUUGAGGACAGAAGAGGAGAGUGGAAUUACACGUGUAGCGGUGAAAUGCGUAGAGAUGUGGAGGAACACCAGUGGCGAAGGCGACUCUCUGGUCUGUAACUGACGCUGAGGCGCGAAAGCGUGGGGAGCGAACA
rnacentral:rRNA from 1 species